rnacentral:rRNA from 1 species
UUCCAGACUCCUACGGGAGGCAGCAGUGAGGAAUAUUGGUCAAUGGGCGGGAGCCUGAACCAGCCAUGCCGCGUGAAGGCGAGUGCCCUACGGGCGUUAAACUUCUUUUGUGCGGGAGCAAUAAGGGCCACGUGUGGCCCGAUGAGAGUACCGCACGAAUAAGCAUCGGCUAACUCCGUGCCAGCAGCCGCGGUAAUACGGAGGAUGCGAGCGUUAUCCGGAUUUAUUGGGUUUAAAGGGUGCGCAGGCGGAUUUUUAAGUCAGCGGUCAAAUCGUGGGGCUCAACCCCAUCCAGCCGUUGAAACUGGGGAUCUAGAGUGUGCGAGAGGUAUGCGGAAUGCGUGGUGUAGCGGUGAAAUGCAUAGAUAUCACGCAGAACCCCGAUUGCGAAGGCAGCAUACCGGUGCACAACUGACGCUCAGGCACGAAAGCGUGGGUAUCGAACAGGAUUAGAUACCCCCGUA